rnacentral:rRNA from 1 species
GAUGAACGCUGGCGGCGUGCCUAACACAUGCAAGUCGAGCGAUCUUCUUCGGAAGAGAGCGGCGGACGGGUGAGUAACGCGUGGGUAACCUGCCCUGUACACACGGAUAACAUACCGAAAGGUAUGCUAAUACGAGAUAAUAUACUUUUAUCGCAUGGUAGAAGUAUCAAAGCUCCGGCGGUACAGGAUGGACCCGCGUCUGAUUAGCUAGUUGGUAAGGUAACGGCUUACCAAGGCGACGAUCAGUAGCCGACCUGAGAGGGUGAUCGGCCACAUUGGAACUGAGACACGGUCCAAACUCCUACGGGAGGCAGCAGUGGGGAAUAUUGCACAAUGGGCGAAAGCCUGAUGCAGCAACGCCGCGUGAGCGAUGAAGGCCUUCGGGUCGUAAAGCUCUGUCCUCAAGGAAGAUAAUGACGGUACUUGAGGAGGAAGCCCCGGCUAACUACGUGCCAGCAGCCGCGGUAA